rnacentral:misc_RNA from 1 species
UCUCCGUUGGUGAACCAGCGGAGGGAUCAUUACCGAGUUUACAUCUCCCAAACCCAAUGUGAACCAUACCAAACUGUUGCCUCGGCGGGGUCACGCCCCGGGUGCGUCGCAGCCCCGGAACCAGGCGCCCGCCGGAGGGACAACCAAACUCUUUCUGUAGUCCCCCCGCUGACGUUAUUUUUACAGCUCUGAGCAAAAAUUCAAAAUGAAUCAAAACUUUCAACAACGGAUCUCUUGGUUCUG